CCUACGGGUGGCAGCAGUGAGGAAUAUUGGUCAAUGGGCUUACGCCUGAACCAGCCAAGUCGCGUGAGGGAAGACUGCCCUAUGGGUUGUAAACCUCUUUUGUCAGGGAGCAAUUGGCGCUACGUGUAGCGUUAUCGAGAGUACCUGCAGAAAAAGCAUCGGCUAACUCCGUGCCAGCAGCCGCGGUCAUACGGAGGAUGCGAGCGUUAUCCGGAUUUAUUGGGUUUACAGGGUGCGUAGGCGGAAUGCCAAGUCAGCGGUAAAAUCGCGGGGCUCAACCUCGCUUGGCCGUUGAAACUGGCGGUCUUGAGUUGGCGAGAAGUAUGCGGAAUGCGUGGUGUAGGGGUGAAAGGGAUAG
rnacentral:rRNA from 1 species